GGCGCAGGCGGUUAUAUAAGACAGUUGUGAAAUCCCUGGGCUCAACCUAGGAAUUGCAUCUGUGACUGUAUAGCUAGAGUACGGUAGAGGGGGAUGGAAUUCCGCGUGUAGCAGUGAAAUGCGUAGAUAUGCGGAGGAACACCGAUGGCGAAGGCAAUCCCCUGGACCUGUACUGACGCUCAUGCACGAAAGCGUGGGGAGCAAACA
rnacentral:rRNA from 1 species